AUUGAACGCUGGCGGCAGGCCUAACACAUGCAAGUCGAACGAGUGGCGGACGGGUGAGUAAAGUCUGGGAAACUGCCUGAUGGAGGGGGAUAACUACUGGAAACGGUAGCUAAUACCGCAUACCAUCGGAUGUGCCCAGAUGGGAUUAGCUAGUAGGUGGGGUAGAGGCUCACCUAGGCGACGAUCCCUAGCUGGGCUGAGAGGAUGACAAGCCACACGGGAACGGAGACACGGUCCAGACCCCUACGGGAGGCAGCAGUGGGGAAUAUUGCACAAUGGGCGCAAGCCUGAUGCAGCCAUGCCGCGUGUAUGAAGAAGGCCUUCGGGUUGUAAAGUACUUUCAGCGGUGAGGCGUUACCCGAAGAAGAAGCACCGGCUAACUCCGUGCCAGCAGCCGCGGUAAUAC
rnacentral:rRNA from 1 species